UAUUUAAAUUAGCUUAUGUCAGAGCUAAUAGUCGUGAAAGAACCGCACUACUAACAUGGGAAGGUGGUAUUUUUCACAGAUAGUGAGGUUUAUUUUUUAUUUCUUUUACUUAGUGGAUACGACUUCCUGCAUAAAAUGUUACGUUUGUGGAAACGAAGAUGACCUGCCUUGUACUGAAUUUGAAAUUGAAGAUAAAAGAUAUCAGAAAGAGUGUGACAACGACAAAAGUUGUAAGAUAUCUAGGAGUGAACAAGGAAAUAGAAUUUUAAGCAGAUCAUGCGAGCCCAACCAAUUCAAAGACUGUAUUAUAGCAAAUUUU